rnacentral:rRNA from 1 species
UACAGAGGGGGCAAGCGUUAUUCGGAAUUAUUGGGCGUAAAGGGCGCGUAGGCGGCCUGGCAAGUGGAAGGUGAAAUCCCUCGGCUUAACCGAGGAACUGCCCUCCAAACUGCUUGGCUUGAGUCCGGGAGAGGUGAGUGGAAUUCCCAGCGUAGCGGUGAAAUGCGUAGAUAUUCGGAAGAACACCAGUGGCGAAGGCGACUUACUGGACACAUAUUGACGCUGAGGUGCGAAAGCGUGGGGAGCAAACAGG